rnacentral:rRNA from 1 species
GAUGAACGCUAGCUGGAGGCUUAAUACAUGCAAGUCGAGCGGGAUUGGGUAGCAAUACCCAUGAGAGCGGCGCACGGGUGAGUAACGCGUACACGACCUACCCCUAACAGGGGGAUAGCCCUGGGAAACAGGGAUUAAUACCGCAUAUUAUUCUGAAUAAUACAGGUUUGGAAUGAAAGCUGAGGCGGUUAGAGAUGGGUGUGCGUCUGAUUAGCUAGUUGGUAGGGUAACGGCCUACCAAGGCGAUGAUCAGUAGGGGGCGUGAGAGCGUGGUCCCCCACACGGGUACUGAGACACGGACCCGACUCCUACGGGAGGCAGCAGUAAGGAAUAUUGGUCAAUGGGCGAAAGCCUGAACCAGCCAUCCAGCGUGCAGGAAGAAGGCCCUAUGGGUUGUAAACUGCUUUUAUCAGGGAAGAAACCUCUGGACUUACUCCGGAGCUGACGGUACCUGAAGAAUAAGCACCGGCUAACUCCGUGCCAGCAGCCGCAGUAAGAC